rnacentral:rRNA from 1 species
GAUGAACGCUGGCGGCGUGCCUAAUACAUGCAAGUCGAGCGAACAGACGAGGAGCUUGCUCCUCUGACGUGAGCGGCGGACGGGUGAGUAACACGUGUAUAACCUACCUAUAAGACUGGUAUAACUUCGGGAAAGCGGAGCUAAUACCGGAUAAUAUAUUGAACCGCAUGGUUCAAUAGUGAAAGACGGUUUUGCUGUCACUUAUAGAUGGAUCCGCGCCGCAUUAUCUAGUUGGUAAGGUAACGGCUUACCAAGGCAACGAUGCGUAGCCGACCUGAGAGGGUGAUCGGCCACACUGGAACUGAGACACGGUCCAGACUCCUACGGGAGGCAGCAGUAGGCAACCUUCCGCAAUGGGCGAAAGCCUGACGGAGCAACGCCGAGUGAGUGAUGAAGGUCUUCGGAUCGUAAAACUCUGUUAUUAGGGAAGAACAAAUGUGUAAGUAACUAUGCACGUAUUGACGGUACCUAAUAAGAAAGCAACGGCUAACUACGUG